GUGCCAGCCGCUGCGGUAAUACGGAGGAUCCGAGCGUUAUCCGGAUUUAUUGGGUUUAAAGGGUGCGUAGGCGGCCUGUUAAGUCAGGGGUGAAAUACGGCAGCUCAACUGUCGCAGUGCCCUUGAUACUGACGGGCUUGAAUACCGGUGAAGGCGGCGGAAUGAGACAAGUAGCGGUGAAAUGCAUAGAUAUGUCUCAGAACCCCGAUUGCGAAGGCAGCUGCCUAACCGGCGAUUGACGCUGAUGCA
rnacentral:rRNA from 1 species